CCCAGGCAUAUGUCCCUGCCAGUGUACCAAGGGACACCCCCAGCCUGUGGCUUAUCCCAGUGGCUGGCUGUAGAUCCCACAUUUUGUGACUGAGGUGACAGGGGCCCACAGCGGGGCCAUGACAGUGACUGUCUCUUUGCUUCAGUGCUCAUCUUUUUUCCCCUCAGAACUCAGCCUCCUCCCAAGCUCCCUGUGGGUCCUAGCCACAAGCUCUCCAACAAUUACUAUUGCACUCGUGAUGGCCGCCGGGAAUCUGUGCCCCCUUCCAUCAUCAUGUCGUCGCAGAAGGCGCUGGUGUCAGGCAAGCCAGCAGAGAGCUCUGCUGUAGCAGCCACUGAGAAGAAGGCGGUGACUCCAGCUCCUCCCAUAAAGAGGUGGGAGCUGUCCUCGGACCAGCCUUACCUGUGACACUGCACCCUCACGGCCACCCGACUACUUUGCCUCCUUGGAUUUCCUCCAGGGAGAAUGUGACCUAAUUUAUGACAAAUACAUAGAGCUCAGGUAUCACUUCUAGUUUUACUUUAAAAAAUAAAAAAAUAGAGACAGA
rnacentral:sRNA from 1 species